rnacentral:rRNA from 1 species
AGAGUUUGAUCAUGGCUCAGGACGAACGCUGGCGGCGCGCCUAACACAUGCAAGUCGAACGAGCGAGAGAGAGCUUGCUUUCUCAAGCGAGUGGCGAACGGGUGAGUAACGCGUGAGGAACCUGCCUCAAAGAGGGGGACAACAGUUGGAAACGACUGCUAAUACCGCAUAAGCCCACGGGUCGGCAUCGACCAGAGGGAAAAGGAGCAAUCCGGCUUUGAGAUGGCCUCGCGUCCGAUUAGCUAGUUGGUGAGGUAAUGGCCCACCAAGGCAACGAUCGGUAGCCGGACUGAGAGGUUGAACGGCCACAUUGGGACUGAGACCACGGCCCAGACUCCUACGGGAGCA